GCCUGGGUGACUCAGUCAGUUAAGCGUCUGACUUCAGCUCAGGUCAUUAUCUCACUGGUUGUGGGUUCGAGUCCGGCCUCAGGCU
rnacentral:tRNA from 1 species